rnacentral:rRNA from 1 species
CGGUCCCUAUCUGCCGUGGGCGCUGGAGAACUGAGGGGGGCUGCUCCUAGUACGAGAGGACCGGAGUGGACGCAUCACUGGUGUUCGGGUUGUCAUGCCAAUGGCACUGCCCGGUAGCUAAAUGCGGAAGAGAUAAGUGCUGAAAGCAUCUAAGCACGAAACUUGCCCCGAGAUGAGUUCUCCCUGAGACUUAGAGUCUCCUGAAGGAACGUUGAAGACGACGACGUUGAUAGGCCGGGUGUGUAAGCGCAGCGAUGCGUUGAGCUAACCGGUACUAAUGAACCGUGAGGCUUAACCUUACAACGCCGAAGCUGUU